CAGCACCUCAAGUGGUCAGGAUGAUUAUUGGGCCUAAAGCAUCCGUAGCCGGCUCUGUAAGUUUUCGGUUAAAUCUGUAUGCUCAACAUACAGGCUGCCGGGAAUACUGCAGCGCUAGGGAGUGGGAGAGGUAGACGGUACUCGGUAGGAAGGGGUAAAAUCCUUUGAUCUAUUGAUGACCACCUGUGGCGAAGGCGGUCUACCAGAACACGUCCGACGGUGAGGGAUGAAAGCUAGGGGAGCAAACCGGAUUAGAUACCCGAGUAGUCC
rnacentral:rRNA from 1 species